rnacentral:rRNA from 1 species
UGAGUUUGAUCCUGGCUCAGGAUGAACGCUUGCAGUAUACCUGACACAUGCUAGUCUAACGCUUUUAGCGUGGCGGAUAGGUGAGUAAUAUACAAGAAUCUACCUUUAAGUUUGGAAUAAUCAUAUUUUUUUAAUAAUGUUCUGCAGUGAUAAUUUCAAUAAAGGCUAAAUGCUGCUUUUAGAUGAGCUUGUACAGUAUUAGGUUGUUGGUAGGGUAAAAGCCUACCAAGCCUAUGAUUCUUAGCUGGUCUGAGAGGACGGUCAGCCACACUGGGACUGAGAUAAGGCCCAGGCUUAUAGCCAGCAGUGAGGAAUUUUGGACAAUGCGCGAAAGCGUGAUCCAGUAAUACUGCGUGAAUGAGGAAAGCAAAAAAGGUUUUUGAGCUUUUAGUUUAAAAGCCGGCUGUAAAAUUAUUUCGCUGAUGAAGAUGGUGACUUUAUUCAGAGAAGAAGCCCCGGCUAACUUCGUGCCAGCAGCCGCGGUAAUACGAGGGGGGCGAGCGUUAUCCGGAAUGAUUGGGCGUAAAGUGUUCGUAGGCGGUAUUUGUUGUUAUACAUAAAAUUCUGGGUUUGUUGCUUAGAAGCAUGUAUAAUACUCUUUUACUUGAGUAUAGCAGGGGAUAAUAGAAUUUCAUACAUAGGAGUAAAAUCCAACCAUUUAUGAAGGAAUGCCAGUAGCGAAAGCGAUUAUCUGGGCUAUUUACUGACGCUGAGGAACGAAAGCAUAGGGAGCAAACAGGAUUAGAUACCCUGGUAGUCUAUGCUGUCAAAGAUGAGUGCUAAUGUUGGGAUUUUUUUCUGACAUAAAGCUAACGCGUUAAGCACUCCGCCUGGGAAGUACGGCCGCAAGGUUGGAACCCAAAGGAAUUGACGGGGGUCUACACAAGUGGUGGAGCAUGUGGUUUAAUGCGAUAAUACGCGCAAAACCUUACCAGUUCUUGAAUAUUAUUUUGUUUUAUGUUAAUCCUUAAAACUUUUAACAAAUAGAUUUUAUCUAUUUGAUAAUAAAAUUAUACAGGUGUUGCAUGGCUGUCGUCAGCUCGUGCCGUGAGGUGUUUGGUUCAGUCCUUUAACGAGCGCAACUCUUAUCUUAUAUUGGCACUUUUCUUUAGAAAUAUUGAAAGACCACUUUUAAGAAACUGCUAGUGAUAAACUAGAGGAAGGUGAGAACGACGUCAAGCCCUUAUGGCCCUUAUGAACUGGGCUACACACGUGCUACAAUGGCGAUUACAGAAAGUUAUACAAAAGAGUAAUCUUGAGUCAAUCUUUAAAAGUCGCCGUGUUCGGAUUGCAGGCUGAAACUCGCCUGCAUGAAGCUGGAAUCACAAGUAAUCGUAGAUCAGAAUGCUACGGUGAAUUUGUACUUAGACCUUGUACACACCGCCCGUCACAUGCCGGGAGUAGACUUUGUUUGAAACUUUUGGUUGUGUUUGUUUAUUUAAAUAUUCUCAUUUAAUGUAAAUUUAUUUAAACUUUUGCACU